rnacentral:rRNA from 1 species
CCUACGGGAGGCAGCAGUAGGGAAUCUUCCACAAUGGGCGCAAGCCUGAUGGAGCAACACCGCGUGAGUGAAGAAGGGUUUCGGCUCGUAAAGCUCUGUUGUUGGUGCAGAACGUGCGUGCGAGUAACUGUUCACUCCGUGCCGGUCUCCUACCAGAAAGUCACGGCUAACUACGUGCCAGCCGCCGCGGUAAUACGUAGGUGGCAAGCAUUAGCCGGAUUUAUUGGGCGUAAAGCGAGCGCCGGCGGUUGGUUAGGACUGGUGGGAACGGCUGCGGCUUAACCGAAGAAGUGCAUGGGAGAACGGGCGACUUGAGUGCAGAAGAGGACAGUGGAAGUCCAUGGGUAGCGGUGGAAUGCGUAGAUAUAAGGAAGAACACCAGUGGCGAAGGCGGCUGUCUGGUCUGCAACUGACGCUGAGGCUCGAAAGCAUGGGUAGCGAACAGGAUUAGAUACCCCAGUAGUC